rnacentral:rRNA from 1 species
UGGGGAAUCUUCCGCAAUGGACGAAAGUCUGACGGAGCAACGCCGCGUGAGUGAUGACGGCCUUCGGGUUGUAAAGCUCUGUUAAUCGGGACGAAAGGCCUUCUUGCGAAUAGUUAGAAGGAUUGACGGUACCGGAAUAGAAAGCCACGGCUAACUACGUGCCAGCAGCCGCGGUAAUACGUAGGUGGCAAGCGUUGUCCGGAAUUAUUGGGCGUAAAGCGCGCGCAGGCGGAUUGGUCAGUCUGUCUUAAAAGUUCGGGGCUUAACCCCGUGAUGGGAUGGAAACUGCCAAUCUAGAGUAUCGGAGAGGAAAGUGGAAUUCCUAGUGUAGCGGUGAAAUGCGUAGAUAUUGGGAAGAACACCAGUGGCGAAGGCGACUUUCUGGACGAAAACUGACGCUGAGGCGCGAAAGCCAGGGGAGCGAACGGGAUUAGAUACCCCGGUAGUCCUGGCCGUAAACGAUGGGUACUAGGUGUAGGAGGUAUCGACCCCUUCUGUGCCGGAGUUAACGCAAUAAGUACCCCGCCUGGGGAGUACGACCGCAAGGUUG